AGGAGGCUCCACGGAAAGACUGUGGAAAUGUGGAAAGCAGGGAAAUGAAGAGGCACACGUCACUCGCAAGCUGAAAUGCAGAGAGGGUAGUAAGGAGAAGAAAGGAGCAGGGAGGCAGAGAUUUGGAAGCUUCAUAUCUGGAGGACUGGCCUCAAGAGCAAAGGAAAGAGUUUCCAUCCAAGGAUGUGUGAGAGAUCUCCUUGCUCGUCAAUCUGUGUUCUACCCUGAUAGUACUUUCCAGUGCAACUCUGCAACAGAUCAGAAGACAUAUUUGAAUCAGCUGGGGAUCUGGUUCCAAUUAGAGAUGACCCUGCAGAUUUUUCAGCUAGGAACUUUGUUAGUGAAUAUCCAUUUGCCAUCUACAAUUCCACCUAAGAGAGGRAAGAUUGCUCAUUUUCUGUGUGUCUGAGGUACAAKAAUCUACUUCAAAGAUGAUUACAACCUGAUGUUUACUGUGAUAAUAAAUUACAGUAGACCCUCAGGAAUGAAGGGAACAAAGCUACAAAGAAACUGGUCUGUAAGGGGCCCUGCAAAUAGAGCAUGUGGGUAUUGUGAUUCAUUUGGACACCUGAUGUUUUUAAAAGUUUGAGCUCAAGUAGGGUGGAUUUUCACUAGCAGAUGUAGGUGRAAUUUAUUAUCACCCUACUUUUAACAAAUAAAGAUCAAAGUAUCCCAGCUGUGGAGUAUUGAAAUGAGUGGGAGAUAGAAAGAAUAAGGAAUGGACAAUCUCUUCAGGAAGUUUUCCAAUUAGCUUGGAAGCCACCCUGCCUCCUUGAUGUUGGCAGCAUUUUUAAAUCACUUGCAAUUAGACCCAUUGGUGUCUGGUAAGUCCUUUCCCAUCAGGGAAGAUUAAGAAGGCUUAUGCAGGGCAUUAUCAUUCAAAGAAAGAGAGAAAAAAAAGAAAGCUGUAAAGGCUGGAGCAUUUAUUUGGAAAAGCUGAGAGGAGGAGGAAGUAUGGUGUCAAUGCAAAUAGUUACAAGAAGGUCCRAGAAGACCUUUCUAUUAUGAGCCUUGGUGAUACUGUCAGACCUUCUUAAAGAUCUUCAUUUUGGCAACUGAGUAAGGGGGAAAAAAAGGUGUAUGCAUGUGUGAGAUAGGAAGAAGGUAAUUUAUUUUUCCUUUAAAUGAAUACUCCAAUUAGAUGAAGAAUACGAAGCACAAAUUACAUCCUGACAGGUGGAAAGUAUUAUUUUUAAAGUAUCAUGACAUUUUCCAUUAGUAUGGCUAUAUUCAUACUGCUACCUUAAAUAGUGGAAAAAUAAAUGCAGUUGCAAUUAAAAUGAACUAGUGAUCAAGUGUAAGGAAGGCACAAAGUGAAAGGAAUUAUUUAUUAACUGCUUUAUCUGCUACAGCUCCUGGUAGGUUUUGAGGUGACUGAAUUCUUCCCAGAUGGUUAGGAGAUGAGGAUUUUAUUAUAUUCAAAAAGAAAUUUAAUGUCCUCAUAUUUUGCAGUGAGGUCUUAGGCUUUUGAUGCAUGUACCUGAACAGGAAAAUAAUUUGGAUUUUCUGGAUGUGCCUACUUCUCACAUGAGCCCCUCUAUCACUGUGACUACAGAUGACUGAAAUCAUCACUAAACCCCAUGAACCUGGCAAUGCAUUUUUUCUGUUUGCUAUGUGCAAUAUGUGCAUAAUGGAUAUUUUCAACCUGUUUCUAYCAAAACAUCUGUUCAUGGCAUCUAAAAAAAAAAAUAAAAACAGAUUCAACACCAAGGGACUAAYUUAUUAGGACAGAAUAACAAAUUAGCAUGAGUAAACUGUGGAGAAACUGAUCUAUCCUCUUACAUUUAGAGAUGGUACUUGCCCAGGAGGGCUUUCAGGUUAGGGUUCACUUUCUUGGCUUGGGAAUGAUGGUACCAUUAGUACCAUCAGUACAGUUAGGUAACUGUUCACAUCAGUUCAAAUACUUGUCUUGUUGACUCUGAARCUUUGCUCAAGAGGACCUGACCCCCUGACACCGGGGCAAGGUGCAGAUAAAGCAUGGGGGUUGGGGUUGCUUUUGAGACUCCAACACUGGGCAGAUAUUGCCACUAGUGGAUCAGAUGAAAAAGAACAUUUUUUUAUUCUGGCCACUAUGAGACACUUGAUAAAUUGUUUCAUUGUUUUUUUGCCUUGUUUCUCCCACAUACAAAGUAGGGAUGCAGCUCUUUUCAUAGCUUGUAGUACCUCUUCCUGACACUGACAGAAAAAUUACAGCUGUAAGUGCUAUCCCAACAUGGCUACGUAUGGAAGCAAAGCUACUCCCCAGCUCCUGCCAGUUGCUGAAGCAUCUCAGCACCAUUCUAUUGUCUGGAAAAGAAGUAAAGUUUAUACUUGUGAAAAGUAUAAACUGUGCUUCUGUAAAACCUGACUAAGCAACAUGAACAACACUUAAAAUACCAAAGAGAAAUUUGGUGUUGUGGUGACAAAUAGGAAAUGGAGAAAGAGAAGUAAAAUGAAAUAAAACACUUAGCAUUUUGUUUCCACAGAGCAGAGGGAAGUCGAGAUCCUAAAGGGCCAUCAUGGUGACUCUUCCUCUUUUCCUCCUCUUCAUCCUUUUGCCCUGCAGUAAAUCUCAGGAGGACUUUCUGGACCAGCAUCAAAAAUGGAACUACAGAGAAGGCGGUAGGAGGUCACAGUGGUGGGUCAGCAUGCGAGGUGUUCAGUAGCUCAGAGCUGCAGAUUCACUUAUUUUGUCCUUGGAGUGAGGUAGACAAUGCUCAUUCAUGACUGCUCUUUCUUGAUUCCUGGGUAGCUGCUGAGGCUUCUGGAGAAAAAAAAAUGGUUUUAGAAAUAAUCAGCUGGGGUAUCCAGUGAAAGCAAAAAACUUGGGUGCCUGGAGGCAGAGAAUUACACUAUGAGGGAGAGUUAUCUGCUUUCAAAUUUAGAUCCUCCAUGUAUUUAAUAUUUGGCAUUUCAUUGCAACUGAGCUGUGAUGGGAAAUGRAAUCAAACUCAGAGCACUGGCUCAUGUUUUCUUGUUCUGACACAUUUGUUUUCCUCUCUUCCAUGGGCAUCCUGCUAACCUAGCUGACAAGGUCAACAUAGAAGGUGUUAACAGCAUUACUCAAACCCUUGAGAAAUGGGGAAAUGAAAUCUUCUGGCAAAUGAAGCAUACCCUGCUGAACAACCCAAAUGCUCUACUGCCUGAGUUCUCUAGUCUCCGCCCUGUCUCUGCAGCUGUGGACAAUCUUGUGAGAGAAGUCCAGUCGAUAAGGAAAAGGCUGGAAGAGCUGAAUGAGCGCCUCAAURUCAUCAGCAGAACUGUCCUUCCCCUUCGACUGAAUGCUCUGCAAAGCCAGAGGCGUGGAAAUACUCAGCUGCGGAGACUCCCGGUGCAUAGGAGAAGGUUGUAUGCUCGCAGGAGACCACAGAGUACUUAAUUCUCUACCAGAAAAAAACAGGAUUUUUUUUUUUUCAUCAGCUUAAGCCUUUCUCAAUGGGACGCUGCUGGAGAGAAAAAAGUAAAGCACGCACAAGUCAGCUUUGCUAAGAAACCAGAACUUUYGUAUUUUGUGGCUACCUUCCAAACCUAGGUCAGUAGGUGAAACCUGCUUUGCGUCCCGAGCAAAAAAAGUUGACAAGCUCAGUCUAUCUGAGUGUGAAUACCUUUAGUCUAUACAGGCACUUUUCUGCUUACCAGAGGAAGCUCUUUCUAUAAAGAUCAGGUGAAUUUCUCUCUCUGCUCUAUUUUUAAAGCACCCCRUCUGAAACAGCUGGGGAAUUUGAAUUUCAAAUGUACUAAACAACUGAUGAAUGCAGGAAGAUGGAUUAGUGCUUGGCAAUUCCAGCUGGGCAGAGAGAGGAAGUUAUGUUUCAAAAUAUAAGUAACCUUAAGUAGCCUUAACCUAUUGUCCAUGUUCUGUGUUCAGAGGGUGGGUAGGGCUGGAUAAGCUUAGUCUGUACAUCAUGCUUCAAUACCGAAGAUAGGUCACUUUCUAGGGACCAAAUUUGAACAUCCACUUUCUGCAGAGAGUGUUUUUCUAGCUACUUGGAAGUGUGCACUCAGAAUGGUGUUAUUCAGUAGAUAUAUUCAGAAUUUCCACUAAUCUGAAACUGAUUUCUGCCAAGACCCAUGGAAAGCAGGGGAUUGUUUUUUCAGAACUAUUUAGAUACCUAAUAGCAAAGAUAGGUGUCCAGAAGGAUUUUCCAAAAUAGCUUAAGAGAUUCUUCAGUCCUUAAAAUCACAGAUAAUAAUUCAACUGGUGUCUAAUUCACAGAGUAUUUUCUCUACAUCAAGUACUGACCUCYAGACAUUUCCCAACAUCCUUUGGCACAAUUAAGAUCUGUAGAAAAUUAACAGCCGUGCUCUCCAAAGACUUUGGUCCCUUGGGGAUUACCCAGAAUACCCUGCCUACAGCUUGUCUUUGCCUCUGUCUUCCUGACAAUAAAGCUGGUGAUAAAAAAGAGUGCAUAAAUCAAAUUAUGCGCUGAACAGAAGAUAGAGUGGGUUUGCCCUUCAGGUCUCUAAAGAUAAAUCCAACACAGAGAUUUCCAUUCAGCAUUGCAGUCAACUGUGUACAUGAAAUGUGUUGAAACGUAAGAAGGAGAGCCWGAGAGGAAAAGAAACUGGUUUUAUUAAAGGUCUGGAUGAAGCAAUUUAUGAGAACACAAAUAAAGAAUGGAUUAUAUCUAAAUGAGUGUGGGGGUGUCUGGCAUGACAGUUGUUUUGAAAACACUCUCCAGUCACAGUGAGGAUGCUGACUAGCUAUUUAAGGAUUCCCAAAGCCUGAGUUUAUGAAAAGAAAUUCAGUGACAUUACAAUAACCUCCAAAAGGAAAGGGGAAAAACUAGUUUUAUAUGAAAUCUUUCAGAAUGGACCAGAAGAAUUAACACAGUAGGAAUUUUGGCUGCAACCUGGGAGUCAGUUGAGUGGAGGGGGUAUGAGCAGUGUAUGAGACAAUCUGAUAAAUAUUUCCCAGAUGUAAAUUCUCUGAGUUCAGGUUUUGAGAAAAUAACAAAACUGUAACUUGGCUCUCCUUGGCUUUUGCUUGGGAAUUUGAAACACAGCUUAGCUAGAGAAGGGAAAAAUCAAGACUGUGAAAACGCUGAUAAAAGGAUACAGUUGUGCCUUUGUUGAACUUGUCAUCAUAAUUUCUCAGGAAAUGUAUUUUGAUCCUAGAAUAUAUUAACAUAAAUUACAAGGAAUAACAGGAGAGAAAGGCCUCUAACUUCUUGUUAUUCUGCAUUCAGAGUUUCUAGGCUGUGCUGUAGCAACAGCUGCAUGCUUGCACAGACUGCUGAUUCCUCCAAGGGAUGCUUUGCUCGGGGCUGUGAGGACUGCUGGUUUUUUUUGGCCUCUCUGGAGGAAGAAUAUAA